AUUCCUUCACUAAGAACCUAUGCCAAAGCAUGGGUAAGAAUUUGCUUGUCUGAGACGUACAGCACCGAGCCGAAUAACCUGAAGGCGCGCAACUCCUUUCGCUACAAUGGGCUCAUUCACCGCAAGACCGUGGGCGUGGAGCCGGCGGCGGACGGCAAAGGGGUCGUGGUGGUGAUGAAGCGGAGAUCCGGCCAGCGCAAGCCGGCCACUUCCUACGUGCGGACCACCAUCAACAAGAACGCCCGGGCCACCCUCAGCAGCAUCCGACACAUGAUCCGGAAGAACAAGUACCGCCCGGAUUUGCGCAUGGCCGCCAUCCGCAGAGCCAGCGCCAUCCUGCGCAGCCAGAAGCCUGUGAUGGUGAAGAGGAAGCCGAGCCGUCCCACCAAGAGCUCCUGAGCCUCUGGCCUCCCCUCCCCAGAGCAAUAAAGCUGUCAGCAGCCUCC